rnacentral:rRNA from 1 species
CGGCACGCCUAAACAUGCAAGUCGAACGAAGUAGCAAUACUUAGUGGCAGACGGGUGAGUAACAUGUAGGUAUCUGCCCUUUGGCCUGGAAUAACAUGAGGAAACUUAUGCUAAUACCGGAUAAGUCUUUACGGAGAAAGCUUUAUGCACCAUUGGAUGAGCCUGCACUUGAUUAGUUUGUUGGUGGGGUAAUGGCCUACCAAGACUUUGAUCAAUAGCUGAUUUGAGAGGAUGAUCAGCCACAUUGGGACUGAGACACGGCCCAAACUCCUACGGGAGGCAGCAGUGGGGAAUCUUGCACAAUGGAGGAAACUCUGAUGCAGCGAUGCCGCGUGAGUGAAGAAGGCCCUUGGGUUGUAAAGCUCUUUCGUCGGGGAAGAAAAUGACUGUACCCGAAUAAGAAGGUCCGGCUAACU